rnacentral:rRNA from 1 species
AAGGACUAUCCGUCAAUGCACGCCAGUCUGCACCAGCCAUCCCCCGUGCAGGCCGACUGCCCUAUCGGCUGCAACCUGCUUCUGCUAGGGAAUCAACCCAUCUACGUCUACAUCGCUGACCGUACCUAACGCAUAAGGAUCGGCUACCCCCGUGCCAGCAGCCGCGGUAAUACGGAGGAUCCGAGCGUUAUCCGGAUUUAUUGGGUUUAAAGGGUGCGUAGGCGGCACUUUAAGUCAGGGGUGAAAGACGGCAGCUUAACUGUCGCAGUGCCUUUGAUACUGAAGUGCUUGAAUGCGGUUGAAGACGGCGGAAUGAGACAAGUAGCGGUGAAAUGCAUAGAUAUGUCUCAGAACACCGAUUGCGAAGGCAGCUGUCUAAGCCGUUAUUGACGCUGAUGCACGAAAGCGUGGGGAUCGAACA